CACACUCUCUGAGGGGUCAGUGUUGAGAUAUUUUAACAGGCUUGGUUUGGAUCUAUGAGGGUUCAACACACAUCUAUUCCAUCAGACUAUUAAGACGUAUAUUAUCAGACGUGUCGGGGACUAGGAGGCGUCAGUAUGUAAAAGUAUUCUAUCAGACUUGUGUCGGGGACUAGGAGGCGUCAGUAUGUAAAGGUAUUCUAUCAGACUUGUGUCGGGGACUAGGAGGCGUCAGUAUGUAAAGGUAUUCUAUCAGACUUGUGUCGGGGACUAGGAGGUGUCAGUA